UCAACCCUCCAAGGCUGGCUUGGUGUUGGGCCGUAUGGCGAUGACCCAGUGACCCUGGGUCGUCGCCGGUCCCAAAGGCAACGACGGCUCUGGACGACCCUCAGUACACGGAGCUUGACCCCGAGCACGUACUGGUGUGGGCGUCCGGACCCGUCCCCCUGUCGACUCUCGACGA
rnacentral:misc_RNA from 1 species